AUUGAACGCUGGCGGAAUGCUUUACACAUGCAAGUCGAACGGUAGAGGGGGCAACCCCUUGAGAGUGGCGAACGGGUGAGUAAUAUAUCGGAACGUGCCCAGUCGUGGGGGAUAACGUAGCGAAAGUUACGCUAAUACCGCAUACGAUCUAAGGAUGAAAGCGGGGGAUCGCAAGACCUCGCGCGAUUGGAGCGGCCGAUAUCAGAUUAGGUAGUUGGUGAGGUAAAGGCUCACCAAGCCAACGAUCUGUAGCUGGUCUGAGAGGACGACCAGCCACACUGGAACUGAGACACGGUCCAGACUCCUACGGGAGGCAGCAGUGGGGAAUAUUGGACAAUGGGCGCAAGCCUGAUCCAGCCAUGCCGCGUGUGUGAAGAAGGCUCGGUUGUAAGCACUUCUAGUCGAGGAGGAAGG
rnacentral:rRNA from 1 species